AUUGAACGCUGGCGGCAGGCCUAACACAUGCAAGUCGAGCGAGCGGCGGACGGGUGAGUAAUGUAUGGGGACUGCCCGAUAGAGGGGGAUAACUACUGGAAACGGUGGCUAAUACCGCAUACUAUCGGAUAACCCAUAUGGGAUUAGCUAGUAGGUGGGGUAAAGGCUCACCUAGGCGACGAUAUCUAGCUGGUCUGAGAGGAGGAUAGGCCACACUGGAACGGAGACCAGGCCCAGACCCCUACGGAGGCAGCAGUGGGGAAUAUUGCACAAUGGGCGAAAGCAUGAUGCAGCCAUGCCGCGGGUAUGAAGAAGGCCUUAGGGUUGUAAAGUACGUUCAGCGGGGAGGCGUUACCCGCAGAAGAAGCACCGGCUAACUCCGUGCCAGCAGCCGCGGUAAUUC
rnacentral:rRNA from 1 species